rnacentral:lncRNA from 1 species
GGAUUAGAUAGUGGUUUGUAUGUGUAAGGCAUUUGCCUUCCUCGGCACUGAACAAGCGCGAUGGCUCUUGUGUCUUGGACAGCAAAGAGAGAUGCUGCUGAAGGCCCAGGAAUGAGAGGAAGUAAUGUCCUGAACACCAGCAACUGAUCUCCCAGAGUAGCCGCAGCAGUGGAGGUGGUGGAAAUGAGUUCUCCUUACUCAGGGAGUUCAAAGAGAAAGGAUGGAAGGGAGCGAAAGGAUGAACCAGCCAAUGACCGUGUGCAUCUCCUUUCUACUCAGGGGACAGGAGUCAGGUUUUACCUCCUGCUGUUCCUCUUUGUGGCCAACCGAGGGCCGAGUGCAGGUAAGUCACUCAGGAGCAGC